rnacentral:rRNA from 1 species
UACCAGCUCUCCGAGUGGUAGGGACGAUUAUUGGGCUUAAAGCGUCCGUAGCUAGCUUAGCAAGUCUCCUGUUAAAUUCAGCGACCUAAUCGUUGAGCCGCGGGAGAUACUACUAGGCUAGGAGGCGGGAGAGGUCGACGGUACUUUCGGGGUAGGGGUGAAAUCCUAUAAUCCCGGGAGGACCACCAGUGGCGAAGGCUGUUGACUAGAACGCGCUCGACGGUGAGGGACGAAAGCUGGGGUAGCGAACCGGAUUAGAUACCCGGGUAGUCCCAGCUGUAAACUAUGCGGGCUAGGUGUUGGGGUGGCUACGGGCCACUUCAGUGCCGCAGGAAGCCAUUAAGCCCGCCGCCUGGGGAUACGGCCGCAAGGCUGAAACUCAAAGGAAUUGGCGGGGGAGCACCACAAGGCGUGAAGCUUGCGGUUC